rnacentral:rRNA from 1 species
GAUGAACGCUGGCGGCGUGCCUAAUACAUGCAAGUCGAGCGAACAGACGAGGAGCUUGCUCCUCUGACGUUAGCGGCGGACGGGUGAGUAACACGUGGAUAACCUACCUAUAAGACUGGGAUAACUUCGGGAAACCGGAGCUAAUACCGGAUAAUAUAUUGAACCGCAUGGUUCAAUAGUGAAAGACGGUUUUGCUGUCACUGAUAGAUGGAUCCGCGCCGCAUUAGCUAGUUGGUAAGGUAACGGCUUACCAAGGCAACGAUGCGUAGCCGACCUGAGAGGGUGAUGGCGCACACUGGAACUGAGACACGGUCCAGACUCCUACGGGAGGCAGAAGUAGGGAAUCUUCCGCAAUGGGCGAAAGCCUGACGGAGCAACGCCGGGUGAGUGAUGAAGGUCUUCGGAUCGUAAGACUCUGUUAUUAGGGAAGAACAAAUGUGUAAGUAACUAUGCACGUCUUGACGGUACCUAAUCAGAAAGCCACGGCUAACUACGUG